AGCGAACGCUGGCGGCAGGCCUAACACAUGCAAGUCGAACGAACUCUUCGGAUUUACUUGCGGACUGGUGAGUAACACGUUGGAACGUGCCUUUAUAUUCGGAAUAACUCAGGGAAACUUUUGCGAAUACCGAAUGGGCCCUUGGGGGGAAGGAUUGAUCGCCUUUAGAGCUGCCCGCGUCUGAGUAGCUAGUUUUUGUGGUAAAGGCUAACCAAUGCGACGAUCAGUAGCUGGUCAGAGAGGAUGAUCAGCCACAUUGGGACUGAGGCACGGCACAAGCGCCGAAGGGAGGAAGAAGUGGGGAAUCUUGCGGAAUGGGCGAAAGCCUGACGAAGACAUGCCGCGUGAAUGAUGCAGGUUUUAGGCUUGUAAAAUUCUUCCAGCGGGGACGAUAAUGACGGUACCCGGAGAAGAAGCACCGGCUAACUUCGUG
rnacentral:rRNA from 1 species